GCGGGGGUUCCCAAGCCAGGUCUAAGGGGCAGGACUGAGGCUCCUGUGGGCUUUAUUUCGAAAUGAAAUAAAGGCGGAACGUAGGCCUUCAUGGGUUCAAAUCCCAUCCCCCGCACCA
rnacentral:tRNA from 1 species